rnacentral:rRNA from 1 species
AGAGUUUGAUCAUGGCUCAGGACGAACGCUGGCGGCGUGCUUAACACAUGCAAGUGGUGCGACGAACCAGGGCUUGCCCUGGGGCAAAGCCGCGAACGGGUGAGUAACACGUGAGUAACCUGCCCCGAUGACCGGGACAACCCGAGGAAACUCGGGCUAAUACCGGAUGUGGCGCACAGGCGUAAGCCUGUUCGCUAAAGGAAGCUUCGGCCUCCGCAUUGGGAGGGGCUCGCGGCCCAUUGGCUUGUUGGUGGGGUAACGGCCUACCAAGGCAACGAUGGGUAGCUGGUCUGAGAGGACGAUCAGCCACACUGGGACUGAGACACGGCCCAGACUCCUACGGGAGGCAGCAGUGGGGAAUCUUGCGCAAUGCGCGAAAGCGUGACGCAGCAACGCCGCGUGGGGGAAGACGGCCUUCGGGUUGUAAACCCCUUUCAGGAGGGACGAAGGCUCACCGGUGAAUAGCCGUGUGAGUUGACGGUACCUCCACAAGAAGCUCCGGCUAACUACGUGCCAGCAGCCGCGGUAAUACGUAGGGAGCAAGCGUUGUCCGGAAUCAUUGGGCGUAAAGCGCGCGUAGGUGGCCUCAUAAGUCCGCUGUGAAAGUCAAAGGCUCAACCUUUGAAAGCCGGUGGAUACUGUGGGGCUAGAGUACGGAAGAGGCGAGUGGAAUUCCUGGUGUAGCGGUGGAAUGCGCAGAUAUCAGGAGGAACACCAAUAGCGAAGGCAGCUCGCUGGGACGUUACUGACACUGAGGCGCGAAAGCGUGGGGAGCGAACAGGAUUAGAUACCCUAGUAGUCC